AACCAUAGAAACCUGCGGAGUACCUGCGGAGGGAUCAUUAACAAAUUGUCCACGAUAAUGGAUAAUUUUUAUCCAUAUCCACCUUGUGUGAAUCCAUUGAAGUGUUUGUUGGCAGGUUAACAGGUCUCAUUGCGAGAGCUGUGUGGGUUUAUAGGCUACACUAGUAGUAGUCUGCUCGGCCUGCCAAUUUCAUGUUUAAACCUGUCUAAAUAAUAUGGACUGAAACAUAUAAACUUUAAU
rnacentral:misc_RNA from 1 species